AUUGAACGCUGGCGGCAGGCCUAACACAUGCAAGUCGAACGAGUGGCGGACGGUUGAGUAAUGUCUGGGAAACUGCCCGUUGGAGGGGGAUAACUACUGGAAACGGGAGCUAAUACCGCGUACCAUAGGAUUUGCGCAGAUGGGAUUGGCUGGUAGGUGAGGUAACGGCUAACCUGGGCGACGAUCCCUAGCUGGUCUGAGAGGAUGACUAGCCACACGGGAACUGAGACACGGGCCAGACUCCUACGGUAGGCAGCAGUGGGGAAUAUUGAACAAUGGGCGAAAGCCUGAGGCAGCCAUGCCGCGUGUAUGAAGAAGGCCUUCGGGUUGUAAAGUACUUUCAGCGGGGAGGCGUUACCCGCAGAAGAAGCACCGGCUAACGCCGUGCCAGCCGCCGCGGUAAUAC
rnacentral:rRNA from 1 species